UACUAAUGCACUUGCGGAAUUAAGGUAAUUACAACAUUGCAUGAACACAGCUCAAAUCUUUCUACUUAACAGUCGGCGUAAACCAUCUGCAAUGUUUUUAGUUUUUAACUCUCUAUUCAUGUUUGUAGUUCUAAUCGAAUCCUCGUUCAACGUGCAGUGGAUUGUGGGCAAUAUUAGCCUUUAGAGUGUGCAUGGAUCUGCACUUCAAAUUCUUACCGGAAAACCAUCCAGGUAUCUUUUGAAUACUCAUUUUAACAUUCUGUGAUUUGGGACACUAAUACUAGAAGACGGAUAGUACGUAAAUUGGGACGCAGCAUAAGACUUUGAAUUCACAUUUAUUAUUUUCACAAUAAUACUAUUAUGAAAAUCAUACUAUAUUUUGUCUACAUAGGUGAAUGUAAAUCAUUCAAAGAGAUAUACAUGCGAUGCCUCAGAGACAACCAUUUUGACAACUCAUGCUGUCGGAUAGAGUCAAAGGAGUAUCUGGAGUGUAGGAUGGACAGACAGUUAAUGGCAAAGGAACCCCUUGAAAAACUUGGCUUUAAGGACUUGAAGGGGGAUCAGACUGAUGAAAAUGAAACAAAAUAUACUUUGGGCUGAUGUUCAUGUUUUGUUGUUCAGUUUUAUUUUGUCUUUCUCCAUAUCACCUGGUGUAAUAUGCGUUGUGCAGAUUAACAAACGUGUAAAAAAUUCAGGGUGUGUAUGUGAUUAAUCAUCAUCAUUGCUACUGGUCAGACUUUGGAGAUUUGGUUUUGUAGAAUGAUCUGUUAAAUAAGUUUUAAUCAUUUGAAGUUUUACUGGAGCUUUAAAUAUUUCUCUGGAAUAAAGAGUGAGCUUAGUUUUCAUCACUGCUAUGAACAGCUUUUAUCAUAUAAAAUAGAUCAUUUGUAAAUAAUAAACUUUCAUUGAGAUCUUGUCAACUUUGCAUUUAAAAGCAUUCACUUUUUAUUUGGCUCAAAUAAAUGCACUCUGAACAACA